UACGUAGGGGGCAAGCGUUUGUCCGGAUUUAUUGGGCGUAAAGAGCUUGUAGCGUUGUUCGCGUCUGCGUGAAAUCGGGACGUCAACCCCGUGACUUGCAGUGGGUACGGGCAGACUAGAGUGUGGUAGGGGAGACUGGAAUUCCUGGUGUAGCGGUGAAAUGCGCAGAUAUCAGGAGGAACACCGAUGGCGAAGGCAGGUCUCUGGGCCACUACUGACGCUGAG
rnacentral:rRNA from 1 species